rnacentral:rRNA from 1 species
UACGGGGGGGGCAAGCGUUGUUCGGAAUUACUGGGCGUAAAGCGUGCGCAGGCGGUUUUGUAGGCCAGAUGUGAAAGCCCCGGGCUUAACCUGGGAAUGGCAUUUGGGACUGCAAGGCUUGAGUGCGGCAGAGGAGACUGGAAUUCCUGGUGUAGCAGUGAAAUGCGUAGAUAUCAGGAGGAAUACCGAUGGCGAAGGCAGGUCUCUGGGCUGACACUGACGCUCAUGCACGAAAGCGUGGGGAGCAAACAGG